UACAGAGGUCCCAAGCGUUGUUCGGAUUUACUGGGCGUAAAGGGUGCGUAGGUGGCAUACAUAGUCUGAUGUGAAAUCUUGAAGCUUAACUUCGAAACUGCAUUGGAAACUUGUGUGCUAGAGUAGUGUAGGGGAGACUGGAAUGCUCGGUGUAGCAGUGAAAUGCGUAGAUAUCGAGCGGAACACCAGUGGCGAAGGCGAGUCUUUGGACACUUACUGACACUGAGGCACGAAAGCCAAGGGAGCAAACGGG
rnacentral:rRNA from 1 species